rnacentral:rRNA from 1 species
UGAGGAAUAUUGGUCAAUGGGCGGAAGCCUGAACCAGCCAUGCCGCGUGCAGGACGACGGCCCUACGGGUCGUAAACUGCUUUUCCGGGGGAAGAAUAGCCCCCCUGCGGGGGGGGAUGCCGGUACCCCGGGAAUAAGGAUCGGCUAACUCCGUGCCAGCAGCCGCGGUAAUACGGAGGAUCCUAGCGUUAUCCGGAUUUACUGGGUUUAAAGGGUGCGUAGGCGGACCCCUAAGUCCGCGGUGAAAGUCUGCGGCUCAACCGUAGGAUUGCCGUGGAUACUGGGGGUCUUGGAUUCGGUCGGGGCGGGCGGAAUGCGUGGUGUAGCGGUGAAAUGCAUAGAUAUCACGCAGAACGCCGAUAGCGAAGGCAGCUCGCCGGGCCGAUAUUGACGCUGAGGCACGAAAGCGUGGGGAUCGAACAG